UCUGAAAAAGAAACUAAUACUGGAACUGAAGAUAUCAGAUAAAUGUAGUGCAGUAAAAAAAGUGCAUUGCUUCCUUCUGAGACGUGGAAGUAUAAAGUAGCAUAACAGGAAAAGCAGAACAUGAAAAACCUCAGGUAACCUAACCCUAAUAACUGUACUUAGGAACAGUACUUAAGUAAAUGUAAUGUAGCAUAUGAAAAAAAAAGAAAAAAAAAGUGAAAUCUCCCUUUAUUUCAUUUCACAUCCUUUGUGAUCAUAUUUUUCCGAAACCUUUUUGUAACUCUAGUGCUCACUCAGUUUUCAGAUUUUUCUUCUUCUGCAUGUCUGUAUUAUAGUCUGUCCUGUUCAUUCCUUUUUCAGUGUUUUAGCAAUAAGUUAAAAAGGAAGUGAGUCAACUGACACCUACUUUCU